rnacentral:rRNA from 1 species
GAUGAACGCUAGCGGCAGGCUUAACACAUGCAAGUCGAGGGGUAUUGGUUUUCGGACCAAGAGACCGGCGCACGGGUGCGUAACGCGUAUGCAAUCUACCUUUUGCAGAGGGAUAGCCCAGAGAAAUUUGGAUUAAUACCUCAUAGUAUAGUACUUUGGCAUCAAGGAACUAUUAAAGUCACAACGGCAAAAGAUGAGCAUGCGUCCCAUUAGCUAGUUGGUAAGGUAACGGCUUACCAAGGCUACGAUGGGUAGGGGUCCUGAGAGGGAGAUCCCCCACACUGGUACUGAGACACGGACCAGACUCCUACGGGAGGCAGCAGUGAGGAAUAUUGGACAAUGGGCGCAAGCCUGAUCCAGCCAUGCCGCGUGCAGGAUGACGGUCCUAUGGAUUGUAAACUGC